GACGAACGCUGGCGGCGUGCUUAACACAUGCAAGUCGAACGAAGUGGCGAACGGGUGAGUAAUACGUGGGUAACCUGCCCUCCUUUUUGGGAUAAGCCUUGGAAACGGGGUCUAAUACCGAAUAAAGGGGGAUGGGAUCGCGGCCUAUCAGCUUGUUGGUGGGGUGAUGGCCUACCAAGGCGGUGCCGGGUACCCGGCCGGAGAGGGUGACCUGGCACAUUGGGAGUGGGAGACGGUCCAGACUCCGACAGGAGGCAGCAUUGGGGGAUAUUGCACAAUGGGCGAAAGCCUGAUGCAGGGACGCCGAGUGGGGGAUGAAGGCUUGCGGGUUGUAAACCUCUUUCGCAAGCGAACGGGUAGGUGGAGAAGAAGCGCCGGCUAACUACGUGCCAGCAGCCGCGGUAAUAC
rnacentral:rRNA from 1 species